rnacentral:rRNA from 1 species
UUAAAACAAGCUUUUAAGAGCAGAUGGCGGAUGCCUUGCCAAAGAGAGGCGAUGAAGGACGUACUAGACUGCGAUAAGCUAUGCGGAGCUGUCAAGGAGCUUUGAUGCGUAGAUGUCCGAAUGGGGCAACCCAACUAAUAGAGAUAUUAGUUACUCUUUAAUAGAGAGCGAACCUAGUGAAGUGAAACAUCUCAGUAACUAGAGGAAAAGAAAUCAACGAGAUUCCCUAAGUAGUGGCGAGCGAACGGGGAAAAGGGCAAACCGAGUGCUUGCAUUCGGGGUUGAGGACUGCAACAUCCAAGAGAACGCUUUAGCAGAGUUACCUGGAAAGGUAAGCCAUAGAAAGUGAUAGCCUUGUAUGCGACAAGGCGUUUUUAGGUAGCAGUAUCCAGAGUAGGCCAGGACACGAGAAAUCCAGGUUGAAGCCGGGGAGACCACUCUCCAACCCUAAAUACUACUCUUUGAGCGAUAGCGAACAAGUACCGUGAGGGAAAGGUGAAAAGAACCGCAGUGAGCGGAGUGAAAUAGAACCUGAAACCAUCUGCUUACAAUCAUUCAGAGCCCUAUGAUUUAUCAGGGUGAUGGACUGCCUUUUGCAUAAUGAUCCUGCGAGUUGUGGUAUCUGGCAAGGUUAAGCGAAUGCGAAGCCGUAGCGAAAGCGAGUCUUAAUAGGGCGAUUUAAGUCAGAUGCUGCAGACCCGAAGCUAAGUGAUCUAUCCAUGGCCAAGUUGAAACGCGUGUAAUAGCGUGUGGAGGACUGAACUCGUACCCAUUGAAACGGGUUGGGAUGAGCUGUGGAUAGGGGUGAAAGGCCAAACAAACUUAGUGAUAGCUGGUUCUCUUCGAAAUAUAUUUAGGUAUAGCCUCAAGUGAUAAUAAAAGGGGGUAGAGCGCUGAUUGGGCUAGGGCUGCUCGCCGCGGUACCAAACCCUAUCAAACUUCGAAUACCUUUUAUCGUAUCUUGGGAGUCAGGCGGUGGGUGAUAAAAUCAAUCGUCAAAAGGGGAACAACCCAGACUACCAAAUAAGGUCCCUAAGUUCUAUUCUGAGUGGAAAAAGAUGUGUGGCUACUCAAACAACCAGGAGGUUGGCUUAGAAGCAGCCAUCCUUUAAAGAAAGCGUAACAGCUCACUGGUCUAGUGGUCAUGCGCUGAAAAUAUAACGGGGCUAAGAUAGACACCGAAUUUGUAGAUUGUGUUUGACACAGUGGUAGAAGAGCGUUCAUACCAGCGUUGAAGGUAUACCGGUAAGGAGUGCUGGAGCGGUAUGAAGUGAGCAUGCAGGAAUGAGUAACGAUAAGAUAUAUGAGAAUUGUAUCCGCCGUAAAUCUAAGGUUUCCUACGCGAUGGUCGUCAUCGUAGGGUUAGUCGGGUCCUAAGCCGAGUCCGAAAGGGGUAGGUGAUGGCAAAUUGGUUAAUAUUCCAAUACCGACUUAUGGAGCGUGAUGGGGGGACGCAUAGGGUUAAGCGAGCUAGCUGAUGGAAGCGCUAGUCUAAGGGCGUAGAUUGGAGGGAAGGCAAAUCCACCUCUGUAUUUGAAACCCAAACAGGCUCUUUGAGUCCUUUUAGGACAAAGGGAGAAUCGCUGAUACCGUCGUGCCAAGAAAAGCCUCUAAGCAUAUCCAUAGUCGUCCGUACCGCAAACCGACACAGGUAGAUGAGAUGAGUAUUCUAAGGCGCGUGAAAGAACUCUGGUUAAGGAACUCUGCAAACUAGCACCGUAAGUUCGCGAUAAGGUGUGCCACAGCGAUGUGGUCUCAGCAAAGAGUCCCUCCCGACUGUUUACCAAAAACACAGCACUUUGCCAACUCGUAAG